UACGAACUGUGCGGACGUUAUUCGGAAUCACUGGGCUUACAGGGUGCGUAGGCGGCUCAACAAGUCAGGUGUGAAAGCCCCCGGCUCAACCGGGGAACUGCGCUUGAAACUGUUAGGCUCGAGUCAGCUAGAGGUACACGGAACUUCCAGUGGAGCGGUGAAAUGUGUUGAUAUUGGAAGGAACACCGGAGGCGAAAGCGGUGUACUGGGGCUGGUCUGACGCUGAGGCACGAAAGCCAGGGGAGCGAACGGG
rnacentral:rRNA from 1 species